CCCCUAUAUAAGGAAUUCAUCCAGCACUGCAACGAUAAACACAUUUCCACUUUCAAUCAGUAACAAGUGCAUUUCAAAACUCCCAAAAAUGUUCAAAAUCUUCUUUUUGUUGUUCGCCGCCUUGGUUGCCUUGGCCACAGCUGUUCCAGCUCCUGCCCCCGUGGCUCGUCCUGAACCAGCUCCAGCCCCACAAUUCUAUUACGGUGGCUACCCAGCUGCCUACAGCUAUGGCUAUCCCGCUGCUUACUAUGGUUAAAGUGUCUAAAUUUGAAAGGAUAAUGCAACUGAUCGGACAACUACAGACCUCUCUCUUCAGAAUUUGAUUUUACUAAAAUUUACUUAAUUUUAAUAAAAAUUUGAUUUCGAGAAAAUA